GUAGUGCGGAUAAUCGCGGCUGAAUUUGCCGAAAGGCGUCAGGUGAGGAAAGUCCGGGCUUCAUAGGGCAGGAUGCCAGAUAACGUCUGGUGGAGGCGACUCUAAGGAAAGUGCAACAGAAAUAUACCGCCUGUUUUCAUUUACGGCAGUUAAGCUGCCGUGGUAUCAGGCUGCUUGUCAGUCUGAAACGUUUUGCAUCGCGAUGAAAACAAGGUAAGGGUGGAAAGGCAGUGUAAGAGACUACCGCGCUGCUGGUAACAGCAGCGGCCAUGUAAACCCCAUCCGAAGCAAGUCCAAGCAAAAGCUAUACGGCGGCCCGUCGUGCUUUUAGGUAGGACGCUUGAUUCCGCCGGUGACGGCGGAGCUAGAUAGAUGAUUAUCACACACUUAAGGUGUGGACAUAACCCGGCUUACAGCACUGCUCAU
rnacentral:RNase_P_RNA from 1 species